AUGAACGCUGGCGGCGUGCCUAAUACAUGCAAGUCGAGCGAACAGAUGAGGAGCUUGCUCCUCUGACGUUAGCGGCGGACGGGUGAGUAACACGUGGAUAACCUACCUAUAAGACUGGGAUAACUUCGGGAAACCGGAGCUAAUACCGGAUAAUAUAUUGAACCGCAUGGUUCAGUAGUGAAAGACGGUUUUGCUGUCACUUAUAGAUGGAUCCGCGCCGCAUUAGCUAGUUGGUAAGGUAACGGCUUACCAAGGCAACGAUGCGUAGCCGACCUGAGAGGGUGAUCGGCCACACUGGAACUGAGACACGGUCCAGACUCCUACGGGAGGCAGCAGUAGGGAAUCUUCCGCAAUGGGCGAAAGCCUGACGGAGCAACGCCGCGUGAGUGAUGAAGGUCUUCGGAUCGUAAAACUCUGUUAUUAGGGAAGAACAAAUGUGUAAGUAACUAUGCACGUCUUGACGGUACCUAAUCAGAAAGCCACGGCUAACUACGUG
rnacentral:rRNA from 1 species